GAAAUUAUUAAUUAUAUUUAUAUAAAUUAUUGUAAUAAAAUGAAAAGCAUAAUCAGUUAGAUUCAUUUAUUUGAUUUACAAAUAUAAAAAUUUCAAUUAAUUGGUUAAAUAGAAACUCUAGGAACUUAAAAAAAUAUAGUAGAAAAUAACAAAAGAAAAUACAUGAAAGUAAUAAAUUAAGGGUGUGUACCUGAACCUCGAAAUUUAGGACUAGAAUGAUGGGGCUUCUUUUCAUGCAAUCAAUCUCAUUGUUGUCACGUGUUUUGUGUUUUGUACACAGAACUCAAUAGGGAUGUAGAUACUUCCGGCUUUAUGCCAACAUAACAUCGUUUCGUCAAUAUAUACAGUAAAUAUCUUUCGUCUACGGACAGGUACUAUUUCAUGAAUACAAGGUGUUCAGAAUUUGACCACUGUCCCAACAUGACAUGUUUCUAAACACCAUGCCAAAAAGCUUUCGUAUCUUUGAUACAUAAAGGCACAUUGGCAUAAAAUUUAAUUGAGUAAAUAAAUUCUUCAUUUUAAUGCUUGUAAAUUCGCUAUUAUAAACCAAGGUUCCUAACAUGAUCGAGCAAGGGCACGGUG
rnacentral:lncRNA from 1 species